rnacentral:rRNA from 1 species
AUUGAACGCUGGCGGCAGGCCUAACACAUGCAAGUCGAGCGAGCGGCGGACGGGUGAGUAAUGUAUGGGGAACUGCCCGAUAGAGGGGGAUAACUACUGGAAACGGUAGCUAAUACCGCAUACCAUCGGAUGUACCCAUAUGGGAUUAGCUAGUAGGUGAGGUAAUGGCUCACCUAGGCGACGAUCCCUAGCUGGUCUGAGAGGAUGACCAGCCACACUGGGACUGAGACACGGCCCAGACUCCUACGUGAGGCAGCAGUGGGGAAUAUUUCACAAUGGGCGCAAGCCUGAUGCAGCCAUGCCGCGUGUAUGAAGAAGGCCCUCGGUUUGUAAAGUACUUUCAUUCGGGAAGCGUUACCGACAGAAGAAGCACCGGCUAACUCCGUGCCAGCAGCCGCGGUAAUUC